GAUGAACGCUGGCGGCGUGCCUAAUACAUGCAAGUCGAACGAAGAUCUAGCUUGCUAGAUCUUAGUGGCGAACGGGUGAGUAAUACAUAAAUAAUCUGCCCAUAUGACUGGGAUAACUAUUGGAAACGAUAGCUAAUACCGGAUAGGUUGAUCGGAGGCAUCUCUGAUGAAUUAAAGUAGGAUUUCUACACAAAUGGAUGAGUUUAUGGCGCAUUAGUUAGUUGGUGGGGUAACGGCCUACCAAGACGAUGAUGCGUAGCCGACCUGAGAGGGGGACCAGCCACACUGGGACUGAGACACGGCCCAGACUCCUACGGGAGGGAGCAGUAGGGAAUUUUCGGCAAUGGGCGCAAGCCUGACCGAGCAACGCCGCGUGAGUGAUUAAGGCCUUCGGGUUGUAAAGCUCUGUUGUAAGGGAAGAACAUUCAGGAUAGGAAAUGAUCUUGAACUGACGGUACCUUACCAGAAAGCCACGGCUAACUACGUGCCAGCCGCCGCCGUAA
rnacentral:rRNA from 1 species